UACGUAGGGGGCAAGCGUUGUCCGGAUUUAUUGGGCGUAAAGAGCGUGUAGGCGGCCAGAUAGGUCCGUUGUGAAAACUGGAGGCUUAACCUCCAGCUGUCGAUGGAAACCAUCUGGCUAGAGUCCGGAAGAGGAGAGUGGAAUUCCUGGUGUAGCGGUGAAAUGCGCAGAUAUCAGGAAGAACACCCGUGGCGAAGGCGGUUCUCUGGGACGGUACUGACGCUGAGACGCGAAAGCGUGGGGAGCGAACAGG
rnacentral:rRNA from 1 species